UACUCGGUGUACGAUCCAUUAGGUUCCAAUUAGCGAGGCAGUGGGCGAUUGUUACUCUUAACGAUCGAUUGUGAAUUGAAACAACAUUUCAAUUCUCUCUUUGUUGAAGAUUAGUGUUUGCUAAUCUUCAGGGCUUCCACAAACCAUGAGUGACACCUAGCAGCAUGUCAUGGCUACCCAAGCUAAAUAGAAUUGGUUGGAGAACCUAUCCAGUUACAAUUUCAAUGCAAUACGGUCCUUCUCUAAUACAAUAUUCUUAAUCACAUUGUUUGAGUGAUAGUUUGUUUCAUGUCUACUAUCCAAUGUAAUACUUAUCUAUAUGAUUCAAUUGAAUAUGAUUUGUAACAUACUUCCUAAGUCAUAUUCGUAUGCUUUGGCCAAAGACUCCCGAAUCAUAUCUUAGAGUAUUCUCCUUCCACUAUGGAAGGUUAGAGAUCCCUUGUUGUGCAUUCAUAUGCCUACAUGACUAGAUAGCUUGAUCCCAACAAUGCCGUGGACACUCUCGAUGGAAUGCCUUUGACAUGAUCAAAGAUCAAUGACCUAACCAUUAGACAUCUAUGAUGCCUCAGGUCAAAGGACUACUUUGCAUAUUGCAACUUACGAGUUCUUACAUGACAUGUAUGUUCGAACUCUCUUUUAAUCGUUGUUCAGUGUACUCAAUUACUCUUUCAAGCACCUAUGUGUUUGUCUUAGUGUCCAACACUAAAUGACUUGAGACUAGUCAUACUCAUGCUUGAGUUAACAUAACACAUACUAACCUUAGCGGAUUGUCAACGCCCAUUUGGCAAUCCUAUGGCUAGGAACGUUUUAGGAAUGAACAUAAGAGAAAGGUCUCGUUAAUCUAACUUACUUAAAUCACUUCUCUCUUAGAUCAAAUACAUUCCUUGGAUUCCCUUAUUGUUUAAACACAUGAUACAAUAAAUAGUGAUUAACAAUAAGCUUUGCCCUUCAUUAAACAUAUCAUAGUUUAAUACAUUAAGUAUUCCAAAAGCUAUUACAUCAAAUGAGUGGCUUUGUGGGCUUACUUCUAAAAACCUUGUCUAUUACCUCUUUCGGCAAAUCUCCUAGCUCAGCGACUUGGGGGACUCCUGCACUUGAUGAAGCCCGAAACUACAAGUAAGCUUCAAGUGAAAUUGAUACAUUACCUUGUGCAUCUUUAUCGGUUAAAGAUACCACUCCUGGAUGGAAGAAAAGUACUUCCAGAGAAGAUGCCACGUCUACGUAUGAGACAGAUAAGUCAAGUGAAAAUGAUACCACACUUCGGUACUUAGAAGUUUCGUGAUUACUCAAUGGCUUGGAUCUUGCAAGUCCACAACCGAAGAGCUUCCCUCACUCGGGAACUUAGGGGAGCACUGUUUGUACCAUACUUAACCAAUCCCGAAACUACUGAGCACCGAUCAACGUUAUACCGUCAAGGACCCAGAAGAGUUUCCUUCCAACCAGAAGGCCAAUCAUAGCGUGACAUGUGUCAACAUCAGAAGCCAAUCACAACAUGACACGUGUCAAUGUCAGAAUGAAACUAGAAACUCUCUUCUA
rnacentral:lncRNA from 1 species